GCGAGGGGGCGGCGGAAGCGCCGACUCCGGCCUCGCACCGCACAGGCUAGCCGGCGCCGCCACCCGCCAGACGGAGCGAGAGCCGGGACCCGCGCUCAUCCGUGCGAUCGGCAAUCACCUGGCCCGCCUGCCUUGGUUCCCGCCCCGCGUUCAGCCGGUCUUUCCAAGUCUCGGGGACCGUUUCCCCGCGAGUAGAGCCAGAGGAGUAAGGCAGUGCCAAUCGAUGAGCGAGCAAGCGAACGCCGGCCGCUAGGUUCCCGCGAGCUGGGGAGCGGGGCCCCGCAGUGGAGCUCCGCCGCAGUCGGAGGCCUCCUCGCUGCCCCUACGGUGGUGUGAGGGCAAGUUGGGAGGCUGAGGAUGGUUGUGCGUGCGGGGAGAGUGGGUGAACGGCGGCUAGGAACUUGGGAGUUCCUCUCCCCUACCCCUGCUUGCGUCCGCUUACUAUCUGCGCAGAGCUCAGGGUGUGUGGGUGCCUUAGUGCUGCCGUCUCCGGCCGGCUUAGUGUGCCCGCGUGCUGAGAUGCUCGUGCUGGACACCCACGCUCAAGGUGCCCGGCGAGAGUCCAGCAAGCCUAGAGCGCGGUGCUCUUCUAGUCUAGCGUGGAAGCCGCAGGAAGCAGUUUGACUUCGCAGGAAACCCUCAGAAGACUUUUCAAAACCUUCUUCAGAAAGCUGUAAACUAACACCUGUCUAUGAAGUUAAGCGGAGUUAAUCAGUCUAAGAGGUGAUGAAAUCAGUGCCCAAUGUGAAGUCAGGAUCAGAGGGCAAAGAAGAGAACCCAGACAGCCAGACCUUUGCAGUAUGAAUUCAAGAUUUAUUCAAUAGAUCAUGAAUUGCUGGGUCCUCAGUCACUCCCAAUUUAAAACCCCCUGGAAGACUUGAGUGGCAGUUCCCUUUUAAGAACUAGUAGGCAUACUAUAUGUCACAGGACCCCAUCCGUCCUAGGCAUUCCUCCUGGAGAUCUGGAAUUGAGACACUGAAAGGCAGAAACCGACGAUGAGUGGCUACACUGAAGGUCACACAGAGCGAGAUCCAGAGUUGGCACUGUGACAAGACAAAGGCACCUGCAGACUGAACUAUGGGGGAACACAGAUGCCCUGAAUAAGCCCUGAAAGCCAGCCCGCAGAGAGGGAGCAGGGGCAGAGGCAGAGGCAGAUGCCAGAGGGGAGCAGAGCUGAGACUGGGGGGCCUGCUGAGGAAUGGAAGGGGUAACCUCAUUAUCAAACCUCCCAUUUACUUCUCUCCCUGUGUGAUCUGACUAUAUUUUAUUUCUGGCCUUUAGAACAUAUAUGAAAUCGUCUGUUUUAUUUUUUAAAUAAAAACCACUUUUACCUGGA